GGGCGUUUAGCUCAGUUGGUAGAGUAUCUCGGUGACAUCGAGAGGGUCGUAGGUUCAAAUCCUACAACGCCCA
rnacentral:tRNA from 2 species